rnacentral:rRNA from 1 species
UACGUAGGGUGCAAGCGUUAAUCGGAAUUACUGGGCGUAAAGCGUGCGCAGGCGGUUUUGUAAGUCUGUCGUGAAAGCCCCCGGGCUCAACCUGGGAAUUGCGAUGGAGACUGCAAGGCUUGAAUCUGGCAGAGGGGGGUAGAAUUCCACGUGUAGCAGUGAAAUGCGUAGAGAUGUGGAGGAACACCGAUGGCGAAGGCAGCCCCCUGGGUCAAGAUUGACGCUCAUGCACGAAAGCGUGGGGAGCAAACAGG